AUGUUUCAGCAGAAUCAACAGGCUGACAAACUCCAGGCCACCGAGAAUUUUACGUAUCGGAGAGCGCGUGUCGUACAUGAAUCAAAGUGCGUGUCAUGCUUCAGAACUUGGCAGCAGUUUCUACCUGAUUACAACAUUCACCAGUUUGUCAGUAUUUCAUUAAUAAAAAAUAAAAAAAUAAAAAGAAAAGAAAAGAAAAGAAAAGAAAAGAAAAGAAAAGAAAAGAAAAGAAAAGAAAAGAAAAGAAAAGAAAAGAAAAGAAAAGAAAAGAAAAGAAAAGAAAAGAAAAGAAAAGAAAAGAAAAGAAAAGAAAAGAAAAGAAAAAGAAAAAACGUUUUCAAAAGUUGUUUUAACUGAGCUUUUUAAACUUUACUGCUCAAUGAAACAGUUUACAAGGUGAACCAGGUUCUGGUGGCACAAUGGGACCCAAGAAGCCCCCUGUUCCGCAUCCCUUCACUUGAAAAGACAGAAAACAGCGUUUGAAAGCAGAGGUUCACCUUCCACUGAAUACCAGAGGUAAGGCUGGCAGAUGUGGUGCUUUCGGGACAGAGCAUCAAAUGUAUACGAAGCAGUGGUGACUUUGGGACUAAGCCAGAGCAGUGUGGGUGAGAGAGGAGGAAAAGGACGAGCUGUCUGCUGGGCCGAGAACAGGCUUCCCAGCAGACAAGCAAUGACCAUCAGGAGGAAAUGAAGCUUGUUGGAGAGUUUUUAAUAGCCAGUUCCCAAACUGGCUGUAAUUUUAGCAGCCAGUUCAGCUAGACUGGUCUGAGCUUUUUCCAACAUAGCCCUGUUCAAAGAGAGUUUAAGAAAUCCUUCUGCCUGCUGCUGAAGACCAGAUCAGAAGCACAUUUCUCAAAGAAUCUUUUACAAUAACGCAAAUGAGACCCAAUACUAUAAUUACCGUCACAGGCUCAGUGGGUAUCCUUCUGUUCAUAGUGUGCAUUUUCCUAACCUCCUAAUCUCCUGUAUAUGAGAUAUGUUUUUAUAACACAUGGAACGGUGUUAAGUUUCUUUCUGAUAGCAUGUCUUUCAGGAGGGAAUUUGGGAGAAUUAAAUAAAAACUUCAGUCAAGGCUGAACUCUCA
rnacentral:lncRNA from 1 species